CCUACGGGAGGCAGCAGUGGGGGAUAUUGCACAAUGGGGGGAACCCUGAUGCAGCGACGCCGCGUGGGUGAAGGAGUGCUUCGGCAUGUAAAGCCCUAUCGGCAGGGAAGAAGCAAGACGGUACCUGACUAAGAAGCCCCGGCUAACUACGUGCCAGCAGCCGCGGUAAUACGUAGGGGGCGAGCGUUAUCCGGAUUCACUGGGUGGAAAGGGAGCGUAGACGGCCAUGCAAGCCAGGGGUGAAAACCCGGGGCCCAACCCCGGGACUGCCCUUGGAAAUGCAUGGCUGGAGUGCGGGAGGGGCAGGCGGAAUUCCUGGUGUAGCGGUGAAAUGCGUAGAUAGCAGGAGGAACACCGGCGGCGAAGGCGGCCUGCUGGACCGCGACUGACGUUGAGGCUCGAAAGCGUGGGGAGCGAACAGGAUUAGAUACCCUUGUAGUC
rnacentral:rRNA from 1 species